rnacentral:piRNA from 1 species
UAGAACUACCCAGACACACCCAUUGUA